UUGGGGAAUGGUGUAACGGUAGCACAGGUGACUCUGGAUCACCUAGUCUAGGUUCAAAUCCUAGUUCCCCAGGC
rnacentral:tRNA from 1 species